UGAGAAAUAUUGGGCAAUGCCCGCAAGGGUGACCCAGCAACGCCGCGUGGAGGAUGAAUGUCGUAAGAUUGUAAACUCCUGUUAGAGGGGAAGAAUAGUACCGGUUGGACCGGUAUAUGACUGUACCCUCAGAGAAAGCCCCGGCUAACUACGUGCCAGCAGCCGCGGUAAUACGUAGGGGGCAAGCGUUGUCCGGAUUUACUGGGUGUAAAGGGCGCGCAGGCGGGAUAAAAAGUCAGUGGUGAAAUCCUACAGCUUAACUGUAGAACUGCCUUUGAUACUUUUAUUCUUGAGUUCGGGAGAGAGAGACGGAAUUCCAGGUGUAGUGGUGAAAUACGUAGAUAUCUGGAAGAACACCAGUUGCGAAGGCGGUCUCUUGGUCCGACACUGACGCUGAGGCGCGAAAGCGUGGGGAGCAAACA
rnacentral:rRNA from 1 species